GCUUUUCCUAAUCACAUCAUACUAAGGUUCAUGAUUUCACCCAGCCUUCCAGUUAACCAGAGAGGGCUGAUCACUCAUGCAGGGACCAGAUAUUAUGAUAGAAGGUGGCCGAAAAGUACCCACACUUCGGGCAUCGCCCUGAUUCUUCUUGAACAAAAUGACUUCUCUGGCUCUGGGACACGUACGCUCUAUACAGAGUCUUUACAUGUACUUCCUGAAGGGUUGAAGACUGAACAACACGAAGUGUUUGCGCAUAGUAUUUGAAUAUUGUGUGACUAUUUUGUAAUAAAGGGAUAUCCUUA